GUGAGGAAUAUUGGUCAAUGGGCGAGAGCCUGAACCAGCCAAGUCGCGUGAAGGAAGAAGGAUCUAUGGUUCGUAAACUUCUUUUGCAGGGGAAUAAAGUGCGGGACGUGUCCUGUUUUGUAUGUACCCUGAGAAUAAGGAUCGGCUAACUCCGUGCCAGCAGCCGCGGUAAUACGGAGGAUCCGAGCGUUAUCCGGAUUUAUUGGGUUUAAAGGGUGCGUAGGUGGUUUGAUAAGUCAGCGGUGAAAGGUUGCAGCUUAACUGUAAAAAUGCCGUUGAAACUGUCGGACUUGAGUGUAAAUGAGGUAGGCGGAAUGCGUGGUGUAGCGGUGAAAUGCAUAGAUAUCACGCAGAACUCCGAUUGCGAAGGCAGCUUACUAAGCUACAACUGACACUGAAGCACGAAAGCGUGGGGAUCAAACAGGAUUAGAUACCCGUGUAGUCC
rnacentral:rRNA from 1 species